UAUUUUCGUUACUAUUUGAAUCG
rnacentral:snRNA from 1 species